GAUGAACGCUGGCGGCGUGCUUAACACAUGCAAGUCAAACGGUGAACACGGAGCUUGCUCUGUGGGAUCAGUGGCGAACGGGUGAGUAACACGUGAGCAACCUGCCCCUGACUCUGGGAUAAGCGCUGGAAACGGCGUCGAAUACUGGAUACGAGUAGCGGCCGCAUGGUCAGUUAAUGGACAGAGUUUUUGGUUGGGGAUGGGGCCGCGGCCUAUCAGCUUGUUGGUGAGGUAAUGGCUCACCUAGGCGUCGACGGGUAGCCGGCCUGAGAGGGUGACCGGCCACACUGGGACUGAGACACGGCCCAGACUCCUACGGGAGGCAGCAGUGGGGAAUAUUGCAAAGUGGACGAAAGCCUGAUGCAGCAACGCCGCGUGAGGGAUGACGGCCUUCGGGUUGUGAACCUCUUUUAGCAGGGAAGAAGCGAAAGUGACGGUACCUGCAGAAAAAGCGCCGGCUAACUACGUGCCAGCCGCCGCCGUAA
rnacentral:rRNA from 1 species